rnacentral:rRNA from 1 species
AAUGAACGCUGGCGGUAUGCUUAACACAUGCAAGUCGAACGAACAAAGCUGGAGCUUGCUUCAGUGGCGUGAGUGGCAAACGGGUGAGUAACACGUGGGAAUCUACCCAUCAGUACGGAAUAACAUUUGGAAACAAAUGCUAAUACCGUAUAUUCUCUACGGAGGAAAGAUUUAUCGCUGAUGGAUGAGCCCGAGUAAGAUUAGGUAGUUGGUGGGGUAAUGGCCUACCAAGCCGACGAUCUUUAGCUGGUCUUAGAGGAUGAUCAGCCACACUGGGACUGAGACACGGCCCAGACUCCUACGGGAGGCAGCAGUGGGGAAUAUUGGACAAUGGGCGAAAGCCUGAUCCAGCAAUACCGCGUGAAUGAUGAAGGCCCUAGGGUUGUAAAGUUCUUUUAAUUAGGGAAGAUAAUGACGGUACCGUAUAGAAAAAGACCCCGGCUAACUCCGUGCCAGCCGCCGCAGU